CUUCCAUUAACAAUUUUAUGUAAUGAUUAACUUCCUUUCAAACAGAUAUAAAAAAUUAAGCAAAUGGCAUCAUAAUCAAGUUCAAACAAGGCACAGACAGGGCACAAAAUGCAAAUGAAGAAGAGAAAGUGAAACAUUGUUAACCAGUGGUUUAUAAUUAUCUUACCUGUAUCAAAGAAUCUGACCAUCUACCAUUCCUGGGGUCAGAAAACAUCAUAGAUCAUGACAAGGGCAUUAUGCAUAUGGUUAUGAUGGUUAUGAGCACC